GUGCUCUCUUCGGCAGCACACGCACUAAACUUGGAACGCUACGGAGAAGAUUCACGUGGCUCCUGUGCAAGGAUGA
rnacentral:snRNA from 1 species